rnacentral:rRNA from 1 species
AUUGAACGCUGGCGGCAUGCCUUACACAUGCAAGUCGAACGGCAGCACGGGUGCUUGCACCUGGUGGCGAGUGGCGAACGGGUGAGUAAUACAUCGGAACAUGUCCUGUAGUGGGGGAUAGCCCGGCGAAAGCCGGAUUAAUACCGCAUACGAUCUACGGAUGAAAGCGGGGGACCUUCGGGCCUCGCGCUAUAGGGUUGGCCGAUGGCUGAUUAGCUAGUUGGUGGGGUAAAGGCCUACCAAGGCGACGAUCAGUAGCUGGUCUGAGAGGACGACCAGCCACACGGGGACUGAGACCCGGCCCAGCCCCCUACGGGAGGCAGCGGUGGGGAUUUUUGGACAAGGGGCGAAAGCCUGAUCCAGCAAUGCCGCGUGUGUGAAGAAGGCCUUGGGUUUGUAAAGCCCUUUUGUCCGGAAAGAAAUCCUUGGCCCUAAUACGGCGGGGGGAUGGCGGUCCCGGAAGAAAAAGCACCGGCUAACUCCGU